GACGAACGCUGGCGGCGUGCUUAACACAUGCAAGUCGAACGAGAGCGUAGAGAAAGCUUGCUUUUUCUACAAUCUAGUGGCAAACGGGUGAGUAACGCGUAAACAACCUGCCCUACGGAUGGGGACAACAGCUGGAAACGGCUGCUAAUACCGAAUACGUUCCGAAAGUCGCAUGACUAUCGGAAGAAAGGAUGGCCUCUAUUUAUAAGCUAUCGCCGGAGGAGGGGUUUGCGUCUGAUUAGCUAGUUGGAGGGGUACGGCCCACCAAGGCGACGAUCAGUAGCCGGUCUGAGAGGAUGAACGGCCACAUUGGAACUGAGACACGGUCCAGACUCCUACGGGAGGCAGCAGUGGGGAAUCUUCCGCAAUGGGCGAAAGCCUGACGGAGCAACGCCGCGUGAGUGAAGACGGCCGUCGGGUUGUAAAGCUCUGUUAUACGGGACGAAUAAUCUUGUGGUUAAUACCCAUGAGAAGUGACGGUACCGUAAGAGAAAGCCACGGCUAACUACGUG
rnacentral:rRNA from 1 species